rnacentral:rRNA from 1 species
UACGUAGGGUGCGAGCGUUAAUCGGAAUUACUGGGCGUAAAGCGUGCGCAGGCGGUUGUGCAAGACAGAUGUGAAAUCCCCGGGCUCAACCUGGGAACUGCAUUUGUGACUGCACGGCUGGAGUGCGGCAGAGGGGGAUGGAAUUCCGCGUGUAGCAGUGAAAUGCGUAGAUAUGCGGAGGAACACCGAUGGCGAAGGCAGGUCUCUGGGCUGACACUGACGCUCAUGCACGAAAGCGUGGGGAGCAAACAGG